UCGUGUCAGUCACGCCGCUCCUGGGGAGAGUCGCCGGCGGCUUCCGGGAGCUCCAAAUACAGCCGGGCGCAGCGGAGAGGGGGAGGGAGAGCUGCGCCACGAGGGUGAUCGGAAACUGUCGAUUUUGAAUCUUCAUUGGCAUUUGUUUGCAUCUGAAAAGAUGAACUUAAGGUCUUCAUGGAUAAAUACCUGGAAGCUAACGGCAGACAAGAAAGAAAAAGGGGUGGAGGGUGUGACUGAGUCCUUCCCAAAGUGAAGUCUGCAAAGAUGAAUCUCUGAAAAGCCAACCUUCUCUGUCAAUGUUAAAAUCGCAUCUUACUCAGUUCUGUGCAUGACAAAGCUUAUUCUGACCCAGUAGGUCUCAACUUAAAUGAAGGUCAUUCCUACUACAAGUUGUUAUUGCCCAGCAGUGGACUGUGUAGUGACUCUUUGAUCCCCCACGUCUGGAGGAAAGACAGGGGAUGCUUACAUGGCACAGUCAGAGCCAGCACCAUGCCAUGCUGCACAUGCCUUGCACAAGCAUCAGCUCUGAAGGUUCUGGAAUGGGAAAGAAGAGAAAGGUUCUGCACUUUUCUAAAUCUCGUCCUUGAGAUUCCAAGUGGAACCUACCUUUCUCUUGAGCAGGAACCAAGGUAGCUCAACUCUGGAAUCCUGACAGUCCUGUUCUCCAUUGGAAGUUCAUGCCAAAGAAGUGAAAGACUUUGAAAUAAAUUUCCAUUAGUCCAAA